AUUGAACGCUGGCGGCAUGUUUUACACAUGCAAGUCGAACGGUAACAGCACUUCGGUGGCUGACGAGUGGCGAACGGGUGAGUAAUACAUCGGAACGUGCCUAGUAGUGGGGGAUAACUACUCGAAAGAGUAGCUAAUACCGCAUGAGAUCUAAGGAUGAAAGCAGGGGACCUUCGGGCCUUGCGCUACUAGAGCGGCUGAUGGCAGAUUAGGUAGUUGGUGGGAUAAAAGCUUACCAAGCCGACGAUCUGUAGCUGGUCUGAGAGGACGACCAGCCACACUGGGACUGAGACACGGCACAGACUCCUACGGGAGGCAGCAGUGGGGAAUUUUGGACAAUGGGCGCAAGCCUGAUCCAGCAAUGCCGCGUGCAGGAUGAAGGCCUUCGGGUUGUAAACUGCUUUUGUACGGAACGAAAAGCCCUCUUCUAAUACAGGAGGGUCAUGACGGUACCGUAAGAAUAAGCACCGGCUAACUACGUG
rnacentral:rRNA from 1 species